rnacentral:lncRNA from 1 species
UUUUUUUUUUUUUUUUUGAGAUAGGGUCUCACUGUUACAGUCCAGGCUGGAGUGCAGUGGCACAGUCUUGGCUCACCCUGUAGCCUCGACUUCCUGGGUUCAAGCAAUCCUCCUGCUUCUGCCUCCAAAGUAGCUGAGACUACAGGUGAGUGCCCCCACGCCCAGCUAAUUGUUUUUAUUUUUUGUAGACCACAGGCUGGUCUCAAACUCCUGAGCUCAAGUAAUCCAACUGCCUCGGCCUCCUAAACUGCUGUGAUUACAGACGUGAGCCAUCGUGCCUGGCCCAUCACUGCUCUUGAAACGUGGCAAAAGGGUUUAAUUACAGGAAACAUCAAUAAAGGAGGGGCCCAAGGCUCUGAAUACACAACACGACAAUCAGAUCUACCCACAGCACCUGGAAACCAAGUCGGCUGCAGGAGUGCCAGUCAGCCUUGAGGAAUACUCCAAAGCCCACAAAACCCCACACCAAGGACUGGGCCCUCUCACAUACCAGAGCAAAGCCUUUAGCAAGGUGCCUGUGAUCAAAAUAACCCUUCAACUCGAUGUUUUAAAGCCCAGCUCAGGCCAGGUGCGGUGGCUCAUGCCUGUAAUCCCAGCACUUUGGGAGGUCAAGGCGAGUGUUAUCGCCUGAGGUCAGGAGUUCGAGACCAGCUUGGCCAACAUGGUGAAACCCAGUCUCUACUAAAAAUACAAAAAUUAACCGGGCAUAGUGGCAGGCGCCUGUAAUCCCGGCAAUUUGGGAGGCUGAGGCAGGAGAAUCACUUGAACCCAGGAGGCGGAGGUUGCAGUGAGCCAAGAUCUCACCAUUGCACUCCAGCCUGGUGACACAGCAAGACUUUGUCUCAAAAAUAAAAAAAAUUUUUAAAAAGCCCAGUUCACAACGAGACCAGAAGUCUCCAUUGAUCUUGGCAGCCUGUGAGACAUACAGACACCCGCACAGGCUCACACAGCACACACGCAGACAUGUGACACGUGGUGGAAACACACGGGUCGGGGGAGAGGUCUGCCCUGAGCUGGGGCAGGGUCCGGGCGCCUUACCUGGUGUGCUCCCUGCAGCUCGUGAGCCACGGUUCCAGCGAGCUCCGUGCUCGCUGCGGUUUGCAGGCCGUCCCGCACAGACUGUAGCUCCUCGUCAUGUUUUUGCUUCAGUUUCUCCAACUCUUGAGUCAAAAUUGUUUGGUGAAGAGAGUCCUGUUUCCGCAGUUGUUCCUCAAAGUCUGCUCGUAAGAGCUCUAGGGCCCGCCUGUGCUCCUCACGGAUGGUCUGAAUUUCAGACAGGUAACAGGAUUCCAAAGAAUCAAGGCUGGACAGAUGUCUGGUCUCCAGAGUGCUGAGGUCGGCAGCGUGUUCCGUCUGCAGUUCGGCCACACGUGCGGCCAGCAGAGCCCCCUGCUUGCUCUCUAACGAGGCCGUCAGCUCACCCAGCGCCGCCUGGUGUCUGGCCUCGAGCUCUGCCGUCACUGACAGGAGCCGCUGCUGGUGCCUCUCCUGGAGGAGCUGCAGCUCGCGGGUGUGCUGCUCCUGGGCCUCCCGCAGGAAGGCAUCCUGUUCUGCACUGAAUUUCUCGGUGAUCUCUUUACGUUCCUCUAAAAACCUGUGGCAACAAAGUGAACACAGGACAGCUAAAUACGCACCCAGGAAGCAUCGAUCCUUGCAAAAGCCAAGUCAGUUUCCUAAAGGAAACGCCACUUCAACUGUUCAGGUCUUCGUUUUGGGAUUUUAACUGCUCUUAGUACUUCUCCGUCUGCCACCAGAAAUAACAAGUGGGAGACAGAAGAGGCCCCAAGAAGCCAGAGGAGCCCAGAGGCCAAAGGCCAAAGCCAUGGGAGUCACCAGGUCACAGACCACAGGUAGGACCCAGCACCCUCGGCAAGAGACGGUGCACACAUAUCCCCACCAGAGCCACGCACGGCAGGUACAACCGACCUCCUACUCACACCAGGGCGUCCAAGCCAGGUCCCAACUAAGAAUCCCAAGGCAAUCUCUGCUCCUCAGCAGGGAAGGGGCACUGCCCAUAGGGGCCCAUGGGGAGGGCGAGGCCUGAGAACCCCAUGACAGUGAAUAGAAUCCCAUGGCAGUGAAUUAAG